rnacentral:rRNA from 1 species
AUUAGCUAGUUGGUGAGGUAAUGGCUCACCAAGGCGACGAUCCCUAGCUGGUCUGAGAGGAUGAUCAGCCACACUGGAACUGAGACACGGUCCAGACUCCUACGGGAGGCAGCAGUGGGGAAUAUUGCACAAUGGGCGAAAGCCUGAUGCAGCCAUGCCGCGUGUAUGAAGAAGGCCUUCGGGUUGUAAAGUACUUUCAGUUGUGAGGAAGGGGGUAGCGUUAAUAGCGCUAUCUCUUGACGUUAGCAACAGAAGAAGCACCGGCUAACUCCGUGCCAGCAGCCGCGGUAAUACGGAGGGUGCGAGCGUUAAUCGGAAUUACUGGGCGUAAAGCGCAUGCAGGUGGUUCAUUAAGUCAGAUGUGAAAGCCCGGGGCUCAACCUCGGAACUGCAUUUGAAACUGGUGAACUAGAGUACUGUAGAGGGGGGUAGAAUUUCAGGUGUAGCGGUGAAAUGCGUAGAGAUCUGAAGGAAUACCAGUGGCGAAGGCGGCCCCCUGGACAGAUACUGACACUCAGAUGCGAAAGCGUGGGGAGCAAACAGGAUUAGAUACCC